rnacentral:rRNA from 1 species
GUGGAUCAGUGGCGAACGGGUGAGUAACACGUGGGCAAUCUGCCCUGCACUCUGGGACAAGCCCUGGAAACGGGGUCUAAUACCGGAUAUUACCUGCUCUCGCAUGAGGGUGGGUGGAAAGCUCCGGCGGUGCAGGAUGAGCCCGCGGCCUAUCAGCUUGUUGGUGGGGUGAUGGCCUACCAAGGCGACGACGGGUAGCCGGCCUGAGAGGGCGACCGGCCACACUGGGACUGAGACACGGCCCAGACUCCUACGGGAGGCAGCAGUGGGGAAUAUUGCACAAUGGGCGAAAGCCUGAUGCAGCGACGCCGCGUGAGGGAUGACGGCCUUCGGGUUGUAAACCUCUUUCAGCAGGGAAGAAGCGCAAGUGACGGUACCUGCAGAAGAAGCACCGGCUAACUACGUGCCAGCAGCCGCGGUAAUACGUAGGGUGCGAGCGUUGUCCGGAAUUAUUGGGCGUAAAGAGCUCGUAGGCGGCUUGUCGCGUCGGAUGUGAAAGCCCGGGGCUUAACUCCGGGUCUGCAUUCGAUACGGGCAGGCUAGAGUUCGGUAGGGGAGAUCGGAAUUCCUGGUGUAGCGGUGAAAUGCGCAGAUAUCAGGAGGAACACCGGUGGCGAAGGCGGAUCUCUGGGCCGAUACUGACGCUGAGGAGCGAAAGCGUGGGGAGCGAACAGGAUUAGAUACCCUGGUAGUCCACGCCGUAAACGUUGGGAACUAGGUGUGGGCGACAUUCCACG